rnacentral:rRNA from 1 species
GAUGAACGCUGGCGGCGUGCCUAAUACAUGCAAGUCGAGCGAACAGACGAGGAGCUUGCUCCUCUGACGUUAGCGGCGGACGGGUGAGUAACACGUGGAUAACCUACCUAUAAGACUGGGAUAACUUCGGGAAACCGGAGCUAAUACCGGAUAAUAUAUUGAACCGCAUGGUUCAAUAGUGAAAGACGGUUUUGCUGUCACUUAUAGAUGGAUCCGCGCCGCAUUAGCUAGUUGGUAAGGUAACGGCUUACCAAGGCAACGAUGCGUAGCCGACCUGAGAGGGUGAUCGGCCACACUGGAACUGAGACACGGUCCAGACUCCUACGGGAGGCAGCAGUAGGGAAUCUUCCGCAAAGGGCGAAAGCCUGACGGAACAACGCCGCGUGAGUGAUGAAGGUCUUCGGAUCGUAAAACUCUGUUAUUAGGGAAGAACAAAUGUGUAAGUAACUAUGCACGUCUUGACGGUACCUAAUCAGAAAGCCACGGCUAACUACGUG